AAUAGAUACCCGGGUAGUCCACGCCGUAAACGAUGAGUGCUAAGUGUUAGAGGGUUUCCGCCCUUUAGUGCUGCAGCUAACGCAUUAAGCACUCCGCCUGGGGAGUACGGCCGCAAGGCUGAAACUCAAAGGAAUUGACGGGGGCCCGCACAAGCGGUGGAGCAUGUGGUUUAAUUCGAAGCAACGCGAAGAACCUUACCAGGUCUUGACAUCCUCUGACCUCCUUGGAGACAGGGCCUUCCCCUUCGGGGGACAGAGUGACAGGUGGUGCAUGGUUGUCGUCAGCUCGUAUCGUGAGAUGUUGGGUUAAGUCCCGCAACGAGCGCAACCCUUGACCUUAGUUGCCAGCAUUCAGUUGGGCACUCUAAGGUGACUGCCGGUGACAAACCGGAGGAAGGUGGGGAUGACGUCAAAUCAUCAUGCCCCUUAUGACCUGGGCUACACACGUGCUACAAUGGAUGGUACAAAGGGCUGCGAGACCGCGAGGUUAAGCCAAUCCCAGAAAACCAUUCCCAGUUCGGAUUGCAGGCUGCAACCC
rnacentral:rRNA from 1 species